ACAUGUUUUUACAACGUUCUUGUGUUUUUUUACUUUUUCUAUCUCAAAAUAAAAUUAUCUUUAUUUUAUUUAAUUGAAAUCCCAGGACUUAAAACAUAAGACCUUAUAUGUGCUCUCCCACUUUUAGGUACCCCAUUUGCUUUUCAAGCAUUUACAGAAUUUAGUUCUGGAUUCAAUUCCCAGUACCACAAAAACUAGUGCUGAAAGAGAAUCAGAAGUUCAGGGACAUCCUUGAUUCUAUAUUAAGGACUGAACCCCUGAUGUCUUUCAUGCUAAGUCACCCUUUACAACCAAGCUGAGACUCCAGCCUCAAUCGCUCCUGUUUUAGGGAAAGAGAGCUGAGUCACAGAAAGCUUCCAUCACUUGCUUAAGGAAGAAUAAGCAGAAACCUCUCCUAGACUUUCCUCGGGGGAAACAGCCCCAGGUUGAACCACACUGGAACACGAAUCAGAAGGGCAAACACGUGCUCCAUUUGCCCUUAUGCAAACAUCUUCCCAGGUCCUGAGCCCAGGGGAAAAGUGGAUGAAAACCCCCAACUGAAACUAAUCCAAAGCAGAGUUGCCCCGUGUGUCCCCAGGCUACCUCCCGUCUUCCUGAAGCCACGGCUGUGACAGCCUGAGUGGGAACUGAAGGCUGCUGGGAAACGGGUAUCUAUUACAAAAUAAAUCAGAGUCAUGAAAACACA
rnacentral:sRNA from 1 species